rnacentral:rRNA from 1 species
UACGUAGGGUGCAAGCGUUGUCCGGAAUUAUUGGGCGUAAAGAGCUCGUAGGCGGCUUGUCGCGUCGGCUGUGAAAACCUGGGGCUCAACCCCGGGCCUGCAGCCGAUACGGGCAAGCUAGAAUUCGGUAGGGGAGACUGGAAUUCCUGGUGUAGCGGUGAAAUGCGCAGAUAUCGGGAGGAACACCAGUGGCGAAGGCGACUUCCUGGCCUGUUCUUGACGCUGAGGCGCGAAAGCUAGGGGAGCAAACGGG